GACAGAGGGUGCAAACGUUGUUCGGAAUUACUGGGCGUAAAGCGUGUGUAGGCGGCCCUGCAAGUCGGAUGUGAAAGCCCCGGGCUCAACCCGGGAAGUGCACCCGAAACUGCAGGGCUCGAGUACCGGAGAGGUUGGUGGAAUUCUCGGUGUAGAGGUGAAAUUCGUAGAUAUCGGGAGGAACACCAGUGGCGAAGGCGGCUGACUGGACCUGACCUGACGCUGAGGCGCGAAGGCGUGGGGAGCGAACGGG
rnacentral:rRNA from 1 species